UCCUACGGGAGGCAGCAGUAGGGAAUCUUCCGCAAUGGACGAAAGUCUGACGGAGCAACGCCGCGUGAGUGAUGAAGGCUUUCGGGUCGUAAAGCUCUGUUGUUAGGGAAGAACAAGUGCGAGAGUAACUGCUCGCACCUUGACGGUACCUAACCAGAAAGCCACGGCUAACUACGUGCCAGCAGCCGCGGUAAUACGUAGGUGGCAAGCGUUAUCCGGAAUUAUUGGGCGUAAAGCGCGCGCAGGUGGUUUCUUAAGUCUGAUGUGAAAGCCCACGGCUCAACCGUGGAGGGUCAUUGGAAACUGGGAGACUUGAGUGCAGAAGAGGAAAGUGGAAUUCCAUGUGUAGCGGUGAAAUGCGUAGAGAUAUGGAGGAACACCAGUGGCGAAGGCGACUUUCUGGUCUGUAACUGACACUGAGGCGCGAAAGCGUGGGGAGCAAACAGGAUUAGAUACCCUGGUAGUCCACGCCGUAAACGAUGAGUGCUAAGUGUUAGAGGGUUUCCGCCCUUUAGUGCUGAAGUUAACGCAUUAAGCACUCCGCCUGGGGAGUACGGCCGCAAGGCUGAAACUCAAAGGAAUUGACGGA
rnacentral:rRNA from 1 species